rnacentral:rRNA from 1 species
GAUUAAGUUAUUAAGGGCGCACGGUGGAUGCCUUGGCACUAGAAGCCGAUGAAGGACGUUACUAACGACGAUAUGCUUUGGGGAGCUGUAAGUAAGCUUUGAUCCAGAGAUUUCCGAAUGGGGAAACCCAACAUGAGUUAUGUCAUGUUAUCGAUAUGUGAAUACAUAGCAUAUCAGAAGGCACACCCGGAGAACUGAAACAUCUUAGUACCCGGAGGAAGAGAAAGAAAAUUCGAUUCCCUUAGUAGCGGCGAGCGAAACGGGAAGAGCCCAAACCAACAAGCUUGCUUGUUGGGGUUGUAGGACACUCUAUACGGAGUUACAAAGGACGACAUUAGACGAAUCAUCUGGAAAGAUGAAUCAAAGAAGGUAAUAAUCCUGUAGUCGAAAAUGUUGUCUCUCUUGAGUGGAUCCUGAGUACGACGGAGCACGUGAAAUUCCGUCGGAAUCUGGGAGGACCAUCUCCUAAGGCUAAAUACUCUCUAGUGACCGAUAGUGAACCAGUACCGUGAGGGAAAGGUGAAAAGCACCCCGGAAGGGGAGUGAAAUAGAACCUGAAACCGUGUGCUUACAAGUAGUCAGAGCCCGUUAAUGGGUGAUGGCGUGCCUUUUGUAGAAUGAACCGGCGAGUUACGAUUUGAUGCAAGGUUAAGCAGUAAAUGUGGAGCCGUAGCGAAAGCGAGUCUGAAUAGGGCGUUUAGUAUUUGGUCGUAGACCCGAAACCAGGUGAUCUACCCUUGGUCAGGUUGAAGUUCAGGUAACACUGAAUGGAGGACCGAACCGACUUACGUUGAAAAGUGAGCGGAUGAACUGAGGGUAGCGGAGAAAUUCCAAUCGAACCUGGAGAUAGCUGGUUCUCUCCGAAAUAGCUUUAGGGCUAGCCUCAAGUGAUGAUUAUUGGAGGUAGAGCACUGUUUGGACGAGGGGCCCCUCUCGGGUUACCGAAUUCAGACAAACUCCGAAUGCCAAUUAAUUUAACUUGGGAGUCAGAACAUGGGUGAUAAGGUCCGUGUUCGAAAGGGAAACAGCCCAGACCACCAGCUAAGGUCCCAAAAUAUAUGUUAAGUGGAAAAGGAUGUGGCGUUGCCCAGACAACUAGGAUGUUGGCUUAGAAGCAGCCAUCAUUUAAAGAGUGCGUAAUAGCUCACUAGUCGAGUGACACUGCGCCGAAAAUGUACCGGGGCUAAACAUAUUACCGAAGCUGUGGAUUGUCCUUUGGACAAUGGUAGGAGAGCGUUCUAAGGGCGUUGAAGCAUGAUCGUAAGGACAUGUGGAGCGCUUAGAAGUGAGAAUGCCGGUGUGAGUAGCGAAAGACGGGUGAGAAUCCCGUCCACCGAUUGACUAAGGUUUCCAGAGGAAGGCUCGUCCGCUCUGGGUUAGUCGGGUCCUAAGCUGAGGCCGACAGGCGUAGGCGAUGGAUAACAGGUUGAUAUUCCUGUACCACCUAUAAUCGUUUUAAUCGAUGGGGGGACGCAGUAGGAUAGGCGAAGCGUGCGAUUGGAUUGCACGUCUAAGCAGUAAGGCUGAGUAUUAGGCAAAUCCGGUACUCAUUAAGGCUGAGCUGUGAUGGGGAGAAGACAUUGUGUCUUCGAGUCGUUGAUUUCACACUGCCGAGAAAAGCCUCUAGAUAGAAAAUAGGUGCCCGUACCGCAAACCGACACAGGUAGUCAAGAUGAGAAUUCUAAGGUGAGCGAGCGAACUCUCGUUAAGGAACUCGGCAAAAUGACCCCGUAACUUCGGGAGAAGGGGUGCUCUUUAGGGUUAACGCCCAGAAGAGCCGCAGUGAAUAGGCCCAAGCGACUGUUUAUCAAAAACACAGGUCUCUGCUAAACCGUAAGGUGAUGUAUAGGGGCUGACGCCUGCCCGGUGCUGGAAGGUUAAGAGGAGUGGUUAGCUUCUGCGAAGCUACGAAUCGAAGCCCCAGUAAACGGCGGCCGUAACUAUAACGGUCCUAAGGUAGCGAAAUUCCUUGUCGGGUAAGUUCCGACCCGCACGAAAGGCGUAACGAUUUGGGCACUGUCUCAACGAGAGACUCGGUGAAAUCAUAGUACCUGUGAAGAUGCAGGUUACCCGCGACAGGACGGAAAGACCCCGUGGAGCUUUACUGUAGCCUGAUAUUGAAAUUCGGCACAGCUUGUACAGGAUAGGUAGGAGCCUUUGAAACGUGAGCGCUAGCUUACGUGGAGGCGCUGGUGGGAUACUACCCUAGCUGUGUUGGCUUUCUAACCCGCACCACUUAUCGUGGUGGGAGACAGUGUCAGGCGGGCAGUUUGACUGGGGCGGUCGCCUCCUAAAAGGUAACGGAGGCGCUCAAAGGUUCCCUCAGAAUGGUUGGAAAUCAUUCAUAGAGUGUAAAGGCAUAAGGGAGCUUGACUGCGAGACCUACAAGUCGAGCAGGGUCGAAAGACGGACUUAGUGAUCCGGUGGUUCCGCAUGGAAGGGCCAUCGCUCAACGGAUAAAAGCUACCCCGGGGAUAACAGGCUUAUCUCCCCCAAGAGUUCACAUCGACGGGGAGGUUUGGCACCUCGAUGUCGGCUCAUCGCAUCCUGGGGCUGUAGUCGGUCCCAAGGGUUGGGCUGUUCGCCCAUUAAAGCGGUACGCGAGCUGGGUUCAGAACGUCGUGAGACAGUUCGGUCCCUAUCCGUCGUGGGCGUAGGAAAUUUGAGAGGAGCUGUCCUUAGUACGAGAGGACCGGGAUGGACAUACCUCUGGUGUACCAGUUGUCGUGCCAACGGCAUAGCUGGGUAGCUAUGUGUGGACGGGAUAAGUGCUGAAAGCAUCUAAGCAUGAAGCCCCCCUCAAGAUGAGAUUUCCCAACUUCGGUUAUAAGAUCCCUCAAAGAUGAUGAGGUUAAUAGGUUCGAGGUGGAAGCAUGGUGACAUGUGGAGCUGACGAAUACUAAUCGAUCGAAGACUUAAUCAA